rnacentral:lncRNA from 1 species
GGGGCUCCUCAGGAAGCGCAGGCGCCGGCUGGGUGGACGUGCGCCCCCGCCCCUAGGGCCCCGGCCCCCGGGGUACUGAGCGCUCCUCCCGAGUCCUCGGAACGACCGAGUAGCUCCGCUUAACGCAGCCCCCAGGAAGGAUGCUUGGGCUGAGCCCGAAGUCCGGGGCUGGGAGCUGCGCCGGGCUGCCGGCGCGGUUCUGGCCCCGGAGCGCCCGGCCCGGGGUGGGAGGGCGCACCCCGCCCUCUGCGCCCGCCACCCACUCCCGCUCGCGGAAAACAACAGGAGCCGGACUCCCUCCCGCCUCCCUUCCAGGCGGGAGCCCAACUUCCUCUACCUUGGCCGGGGAGGAGGGCUUUAUGCAAAGGGCGCGCGCCCGGGCGCGCCGAGCCGAGUCCGGCCCGGUCGGGGGUGGAGCGCGGAGGCCGGUCCCUCCCCGAGCCCACUGCGCCCGGGACGGCAGCCUGGAGUCGCGGGGACCGCUGGGCCGUGCAGAGCCCUGCGGCUGCCGCAGGACGGCACCCCGGUCCCCGGCCCCCGGCCCGCCGGGCGCUCCGGCUGCAGCACCCGGAGAGGCGGGCCGCCCGGCUGCAGGAUUCAGGGUCCCCUCGGCGUCCCAGCUUAGCUCUUCCAGGGUGCUCCCGUGCUCUCCUGUGCUCCGGCGGACGCCAGGACCGCCAUGGCUGUCCCCGCCUACCCUUUGCAGAACGAAGGCUGUCACUGUGACGUCACUACACUGUAUCUACAAUCAGCUCUGCCGAGAGCCAGUACCCCUGGAAGACGCCACUUUCCCCCAGUGACACAACGUCAGACUUCUGGCUGGAUUUCCCAGGAGCCAAACAGAUGACUCGGGUAGAAAAGACUCUUUGAUCGGUCUCUUGUUCUUUGAUCUCACACUCACCGAUUGAAUGCCAUUUGUUGGCCAAAAUCAAUGUGAUGUUCCUAACUUCCAAUUGGGACAUGUAGAUUCAUGGCUGCAAGUAUAUUUAAUUUGUGGCAAUAGAAGAACUUAGUAAACUCAGGGUUUCCAGAGAAAACUUGGACGAAACAUUUUUCCAAAGUUGACAUACCUGUUUCUUAGAUGGCAUUUGCUUUUUCCUGAUUAUAAGCCUGUCCGUCUCAUCAUGGAACAACGAGAAACAGAAAAAUAGGAAAUAAAAUGUAACUAUGACCCA